GAUGAACGCUGGCGGCGUGCUUAACACAUGCAAGUCGAACGGAAAGGCCCAAGCUUGCUCGGGUACUCGAGUGGCGAACGGGUGAGUAACACGUGGGUGAUCUGCCCUGCACUUCGGGAUAAGCCUGGGAAACUGGGUCUAAUACCGGAUAGGACGAUGGUUUGGAUGCCAUUGUGUAAAGUUUUUUCGGUGUGGGAUGAGCUCGCGGCCUAUCAGCUUGUUGGUGUGGUAAUGGCCUACCAAGGCGUCGACGGGUAGCCGGCCUGAGAGGGUGUACGGCGACAGUGUGACAGUGAUACGGGCCAGAGUCGUACGGGAGGCAGCAGUGGGGAAUAUUGCACAAUGGGCGCAGGCCUGAUGCAGCGAAGCGGCGUGGGGGAUGACGGCCUUCGGGUUGUAAAAUCCUUUCGCUAGGGACGAAGCGUUUUUGUGACGGUACCUGGAGAAGAAGCACCGGCUAACUACGUG
rnacentral:rRNA from 1 species